GUGGGGUAAUGGCCUACCAAGGCGACGACGGGUAGCCGACCUGAGAGGGUGACCGGCCACACUGGGACUGAGACACGGCCCAGACUCCUACGGGAGGCAGCAGUGGGGAAUCUUGCACAAUGGGCGAAAGCCUGAUGCAGCGACGCCGCGUGGGGGAUGAAUGCCUUCGGGUUGUAAACCCCUUUCGGCAGGGAAGAAGCGCAAGUGACGGUACCUGCAGAAGAAGCCUCGGCUAACUACGUGCCAGCAGCCGCGGUAACACGUAGGAGGCGAGCGUUGUCCGGAAUCAUUGGGCGUAAAGAGCGCGCAGGCGGCUUGGCAAGUCGGGUGUGAAAUCCCGGGGCUCAACCCCGUGACUGCAUCCGAUACUGUCAGGCUAGAGGUAGGUAGGGGAGAUCGGAAUUCCUGGUGUAGCGGUGAAAUGCGCAGAUAUCAGGAGGAACACCGGUGGCGAAGGCGGAUCUCUGGGCCUUACCUGACGCUCAGGCGCGAAAGCUAGGGGAGCGAACAGGAUUAGAUACCCUGGUAGUCCUAGCCGUAAACGUUGGGUGCUAGGUGUGGGCGGAUAUCAACCCCGUCCGUGCCGAAGCUAACGCAUUAAGCA
rnacentral:rRNA from 1 species